UCAUAUUUAAUCCAUUCUAUUCAAUAUAUAUUCAAAUCCAUAAAUAAGAUUUCCAUAACAUUCAAGCAUUCAUUCAAAUUAAACACAAUUUCCAACCAUUCAUUAACUUUCAAUAAUACAUUCAAGUUUCAAACUACAACUUUCCAUUACAAUUUUACAAACCAAAUCCAAAUGUCCAAACCAAAAUUAAUAACCUCCCAAUCUAUUUUUUCUAAGUCAGCUGCACCUAAAUAUGACGCGUUCAUUAGCACCUAUAUCCUGCAAAUGUUCUCAGUAACACUGCAUUCUGCAAGAUUUCUCAUAAUAGGCAUAUGACAAAAAAUUUAACCUGCAAAACUAAUUCAAUGUGCAGUUCAUGACAGAAAUACAGGAAAAACGUGCCCUGCCAAACCAAUGAAUGAAGGAAAAUAUAGGAAAUUCAAACCAGUAUCCACCUGCAUAACUCACAAAAAGCAUUUAGACUAAGCAGAACCAUCCAUUCAAAACACGCAAGCGAGAGCUCUAUUAACAGUACCUGCAAGUUGCAUUCAACACAACAUAAAAUUGGGUACUACCAUAGCAGAAACCAACACAUACAGAGAAUCUCUAACUCACUAACUAAAUCUAAAUUGACAGCUAACACUACUAACCUCUAACUGAUUUUUUUCAUUUCAAAGCAAUUUGAGGAGAAUUUCAGAAGCAUUUAAGGUGAGUUUCUAACAAACUUUGAUUCGAAAACGGAGGAAGGAGAAGGAAGUCGAUACUUCUUUUAUCGCCACCGCGUCAAGUCCAAUGAGUUUUUUGCUUCAAUACAUUUAUCUCGAUUUCGUGAUGCCGUUGCAGUUUAGCUUCGAUCCGGUGAAGUGAAGAUUCCGGCGUCCUCGAGCUUGUGUUGAGUAUGCGUCUCCGGUGGACCUAGUUCGCGUUGGCGUUUCAUUUUUCUUGUUGAUUAUUUGAACAUUCAAAUUGAUGAUGAGGAGAAGAGUGAUGCCGUACGUGUAAAAUCUUCUUUGGAUAAGCUUUUCCUGUUUCCGUUUCAGCUGAUACGAAGUGUGAAGGAAUGAAGAUGCGUUUCUUUACGUUUCAAAUCUUGGUUGUUUGGGCCUAA
rnacentral:lncRNA from 1 species